AGAGUUUGAUCCUGGCUCAGGAUGAACGCUAGCUACAGGCUUAACACAUGCAAGUCGAGGGGCAGGCAUGGUCUUAGCUUGCUUAAGGCCGAUGGCGACCGGCGCACGGGUGAGUAACGCGUAUCCAACCUGCCUUACACUCUUGGACAGCCUUCUGAAAGGGAGAUUAAUACAAGAUGUUAUCAUGAGUAAGCAUUUCGCAUGAUUAAAGAUUUACCGGUGUAAGAUGGGGAUGCGUUCCAUUAGAUAGUAGGCGGGGUAACGGCCCACCUAGUCUUCGAUGGAUAGGGGUUCUGAGAGGAAGGUCCCCCACAUUGGAACUGAGACACGGUCCAAACUCCUACGGGAGGCAGCA
rnacentral:rRNA from 1 species